UUGCUCUUUCUAUUUCAGCUUCUUCCAUGGUUCCCAGAUGGUAUCUCCUCAGCAUAAAAUGGAUCUAAAUCCUACACCAACGUUUCUGGAUUCCUCAGCACUGUGGCUGAAAAUUCUCAGCAACUUCAUUUAAUUUCUAAAGGAAAGCAAGUAAGAUGUGUCAUACUCAGGGAAGCAGCAAAGUCCCCCAUCCCGCCCAAAGAGAAAUAUAGUGAAACUACAAAUAUAUGUUUUCAGCAAUGAUCAUGUCAGACACAUCCAAAUGACUGAGUAGCACAUUUCAGGUAAAGUGCUGGCUGGAGGGAGAAUACUUAAAAAAAAAAAUUCCCAAAUUGUGGAAAGUGCUAAUUUACCCCUCAUCCCAAUUUAAUU